rnacentral:rRNA from 1 species
UACGUAGGUCCCGAGCGUUGUCCGGAUUUAUUGGGCGUAAAGCGGGCGCAGGUGGUUUAUUAAGUCUGGUGUAAAAGGCAGUGGCUCAACCAUUGUAUGCAUUGGAAACUGGUAGACUUGAGUGCAGGAGAGGAGAGUGGAAUUCCAUGUGUAGCGGUGAAAUGCGUAGAUAUAUGGAGGAACACCGGUGGCGAAAGCGGCUCUCUGGCCUGUAACUGACACUGAGGCUCGAAAGCGUGGGGAGCAAACAGG